GACGAACGCUGGCGGCGUGCUUAACACAUGCAAGUCGAACGGAAAGGCCCUGCUUUUGUGGGGUGCUCGAGUGGCGAACGGGUGAUUAACACGUGAUUAACCUGCCCUUGACUUUGGGAUAACUUCAGGAAACUGGGGCUAAUACCGGAUAGGAGCUCCUGCUGCAUGGUGGGGGUUGGAAAGUUUCGGCGGUUGGGGAUGGACUCGCGGCUUAUCAGCUUGUUGGUGGGGUAGUGGCUUACCAAGGCUUUGACGGGUAGCCGGCCUGAGAGGGUGACCGGCCACAUUGGGACUGAGAUACGGCCCAGACUCCUACGGGAGGCAGCAGUGGGGAAUAUUGCACAAUGGGCGGAAGCCUGAUGCAGCAACGCCGCGUGCGGGAUGACGGCCUUCGGGUUGUAAACCGCUUUCGCCUGUGACGAAGCGUGAGUGACGGUAAUGGGUAAAGAAGCACCGGCUAACUACGUG
rnacentral:rRNA from 1 species